rnacentral:lncRNA from 1 species
ACUGAAGCAGUUAUAAGAAUAUAGACAUAUUCCACUCAGUCGGAGUGUUCAUAAAGUUGGUUUACUGACAACUAUACGCGAUAUUAAGCACCAUACUAUAUCUCAGCAACAUGCAUAUGUUUGAAUGGAGUUCAUGAAAGCCAUCAUCUACCACAGUCAUUCAUCUGGACUUCAAGUCUGCCCUGCUGGGAAGUAGGUCACCACCUCUACACUGGGCCACUGUCAAGAUCCAAAAUGUGCUAAAACUUAGUCACCACUCUAUUUGGUAGCAAUCCAAAGUGGACCAAAACAUUUCCUAAGUAAUACCAAGGUCAAAAAUAUAAUGUCGAUAUGUCAAAUUUUGAUCUCUGUGAGUGGAUACUAGUAAAUGGAGAGUUGUUAUGAGUAGGAUGAGAGGAAAGUUGUUGGUUGUUUCAUAAAAGCAAAGAAAAUUA